CAACCCUCAAGCAUUGCUUGGUGUUGGGGCACUGCCUGUAAAAGGGCAGGCCCUGAAAUUCAGUGGCGAGCUCGCCAGGACCCCGAGCGCAGUAGUUAAACCCUCGCUUUGGAAGGCCCUGGCGGUGCCCUGCCGUUAAACCCCCAACUUCUGAAA
rnacentral:misc_RNA from 1 species